GGUCGCGUGGCCUAAUGGAUAAGGCGCUUGCCUGCGGAGCAGGAGAUUGUGGGUUAAAGUCCCACCGUGAUCA
rnacentral:tRNA from 1 species